UUUCAGAGCUUAAUUAUGACACCAGAUGAGGAAAUUUGGCACGACAAAUGGAAAAAAUGGGCAAAUUAAUGCAAUAGAAAUUUUUCACAGAUGACAGACAAAGGAUCUAUUAUUUUCAAGUACUUUUCAAGUCCCGAGGACUUUGCUUACAAAGUACUACUUUGCUGUGGAAUUGAAGCUUUUAGAGAAUGCAUAUUUUGUAAAUUAUUAGGCUCAUCUGCAUUUUCUCUCAAUUAUAGAAAUAAUGAGUUAAUGAU